GUUUACUGUGAGAAAAUUAGAGUGUUCAAAGCAGGCGUUUCGCUCGAAUACGUUAGCAUGGAAUAAUAGAAUAGGACGAGGGUUCUAUUUUGUUGGUUCUAGGACCGUCGUAAUGAUUAAUAGGGAUGGUCGGGGGCAUCAGUAUUCAGUAGUAAGAGGUGAAAUUCUUGGAUUUACUGAAGACUAACUGCUGCGAAAGCGUUUGCCAAGGACAUCUUCAUUAAUCAAGAACGAAAGUUAGGGGAUCGAA
rnacentral:rRNA from 1 species